rnacentral:misc_RNA from 1 species
AGAGGCCGAAAGGCUACUUGAAACCAUCGCGAACCCAUCCAUGUUGCUUCGGCGGCGCGGUGCCCCCCCGGGGGCGCCGCAGCCCGGCCUCUCCGGAGGUCUGGCACCCGCCGGAGGUCCUAAACUCUCUGUAUUAUAGUGGCAUCUCUGAUUAAAAUAAAUAAGUUAAAACUUUCAACAACGGAUCUCUUGGCUCU